CAAGGAAUUUUCCCCAAUGGGCGCAAGCCUGAGGGAGCAACGCCGCGUGGAGGACGACGGCCUUCGGGUUGUAAACUCCUUUUCGGAGGGAAGAUACAGACGGUACCUUCGGAAUAAGCCCCGGCUAACUCUGUGCCAGCAGCCGCGGUAAGACAGAGGGGGCAAGCGUUGUCCGGACUGACUGGGCGUAAAGCGCGCGCAGGCGGUCGGAGGCGUCGGUGCUGAAAGCGCGCCGCUUAACGGCGCGAUGCGUGCCGAUACGCUCCGACUGGAGGGUGGGCGAGGGUGGUAGAAUUGCCGGUGUAGUGGUGAAAUGCGUAGAGAUCGGCAGGAAUACCAGUGGCGAAGGCGGCCACCUAGCCCGCACCUGACGCUGAAGCGCGACAGCGUGGGGAGUGAACUG
rnacentral:rRNA from 1 species